GACGAACCGUGCGAACGUUAUUCGGAAUCAUUGGCUUAAAGGGCGCGUAGGCGGCCCGCUAAGUCGAACGUGAAAUCCCCGGGCUCAACCCGGGAACUGCGUCCGAUACUGGCAGGCUUGAAUCCGGGAGAGGGAUGCGGAAUUCCAGGUGUAGCGGUGAAAUGCGUAGAUAUCUGGAGGAACACCGGUGGCGAAAGGCGGCAUCCCGGACCGGCAUGACGCUGAGGCGCGAAAGCGUGGGAGCAAACAGG
rnacentral:rRNA from 1 species